AGGGAAGGGGUCUUUGGGGAAGGCCGGGGCUGAGGGAGGGUCUCACCUGUGAAUCAACAGGUUGUCCAAGAAUCUUGAACGAGGCAGGUCAAGUCCAGCCCUCGCUCCCCACUUUUGGCCCCCAUGCACAUCCGUCCUGUGCUGCGAACGCCUCCCGUGAGGGGGUGAUUUCCUGGGUGGCCCCCUCUGGGGACAGCUCAGACUCUCAGGAAGCUUCCUGUUGCUCCCACGCGUCCUUUCUCUCUCCUACCGUGGAGCUCGUGUUGUCUCCUGAGGCCACAGUCAGGUUGUGCCGACGGACCUGCAGCUGCCCGCAGACCCUAAUCACACGCCUCGCCCCCCGUCCUCGGCUGGUCCCUGGACAGGGCAGCCUCGGGCCCUUUGCGUCUCCACUGGGCAGGUUUGCGCCCCUUGCCUGCCCGUCACUCUCAUCUGAGUUGCUCCAGGCUGUGGCGGAUGGGGUCUUCUUCACCUCCCUCCCCCCUGGGCUGGUACGUCCCAAAGCUAGAGCCACACUGAGCUCGGGGCAGAAAAGGAUGACUGUCAGGAAAGAGUAGGGUGGUGGUUCGGGGUUAAGUUAGAGAACAGACAAUUUGAAUAUUCAUCAGGACUUGUGUGUGCACAUCUUCAUGUGCCUGUAUUUGACUGACUGACGGGUUAUGGACAGUCCAGUUUCCCUUUUGUGAUAGGGAAAGUGGCAGGGGUCAGACCUGGACAUACUCUGCCAGGUUUAUUCUGAUGGGAGUAGGAGAAGACAAUCCCCUCCCCUCUUUUGAACCUCAUACUUCCAUUAAUGCAACCUAAGUUCACAUAGGCUUUUUAGUAGCUGCACAAUCCUCUUGACUCAAUUAACACUUAGUGUUGAAUACAAACUCUACAAUGUUUUAUGUUCCUUGUUCCUGAGCCACGUUUUCCCCCCAAGCCAGCUCCCCUUCCCUCAGUCAUACUCUGUUGCAAGGUUAUCCAGAUCCACUGGCCCAGACAGGAUGGAGAACAGGGCCUUGGGCCUCACCACUUGGGACCUCUCUUGAGCUGAUCUGACAGUCGUCCUGCCAGGAGCCCUUGCUGCCACAGCGCUCUUCAUCCUGCCCAGGCCAGCCCCGUCCGUUCUUCCUCACUGGGCCAUCCGGUGAGGAGCCCGACUGCUUCGAGGACCCAGCCUUCUCCUCUCCCUACCAUCCCCCCCGCGCCUCCGGGGCUGGAGCACGGGCUCCACGAGGCAGAGGCGGGAGGUGAGACUCGGCAGCGCGGCUAUUUUCACUCUGACAUUUUCACUUUCUGAAAAAUCUCACUUGAAGUUCACGCUAAUGUUUGCAUCCUCCGAAGAGGAGGGGACGAGCUGCUCCACCCUGGGCCGGACUCCUGGUGCAGUUCUCCAUUUUAUCCCGCACCAGCCCCUUCCUUCUAAACUCCAGGACAGGAGCAGUUGUAGAAAAAAAAAAAUCAAAAACCAGAAGAAGGGGCCAGCCUGGUGACACAGCGGUUAAGUGCACAUGUUCUGCUUCUUGGCGGCCCGGGGUUCACCGGUUCGGAUCCUGGGUGCCGAUGUGGCACCGCUCAUCAAGCCAUGCUGUGGUAGGCGUCCCACAUAUAAAGUAGAGGAAGAUGGGCACGGAUGUUAGCUCAGGGCCAGUCUUCCUCAGCAAAAAAAGAGGAGGAUUGGUGACAGAUGUUAGCUCAGGACUAAUCUUCCUCAAAAAAAUAAAAGAAAAUAAAAAAUAAAAUAAAAACUUAAA
rnacentral:lncRNA from 1 species